CAUCUUCUCUUGAAUUAUUUAUGAGAUAUAACCUGCCCAAUGAUUUUUAAUGGCCGCGGUAUUAUGACCGUGCAAAGGUAGCAUAAUCAUUAGUCUAUUAAUUGUGGACUGGAAUGAAUGGUUGGACGAAAUAUUAUCUGUCUCAAUUUAAUUUUAAAAUUUAAAUUUUAAGUGAAAAAGCUUAAAUUUUUUUGUAGGACGAGAAGACCCUAUAGAUCUUAAUAUUAUUUAAUAUUAUUUAAUUUAGUUUAUUGUUUAUUAAUUUUAAAUUUUAAUUAGUUGGGGUGACUUUUAGAGAGCAAUAACUCUAUUUAUUAAAUUACAUUUAUUUAUGAUAAAUUGACCCUUUUUAUUGUUAUAAGAUAGAGAUACCUUAGGGAUAACAGCGUAAUUUUCUUUGAGAGUUCUUAUUGACAAGAAAGAUUGCGACCUCGAUGUUGAAUUAAGAUUAUGCUUAUGUGUAGAAAUAUAAGUUAUAGGUCUGUUCGACCUUUAAAUUCUUACAUGAU
rnacentral:rRNA from 1 species